AUUGAACGCUGGCGGCAGGCCUAACACAUGCAAGUCGAGCGGAUGAAGAGAGCUUGCUCCUGGAUUCAGCUGCGGACGGGUGAGUAAGGCCUAGGAAUCUGCCUGGUUGCGGUGGAUAACGUCCGGAAACGGGCGCUAAUACCGCAUACGUCCUUAGGGCGAAAGUGGGAGAUCUUCGGACCUCACGCUAUCACAUGAGCCUAUGUCGGAUUAGCUAGUUGGUGGGGUAAAGGCCUACCAAGGCGACGAUCCGUAGCUGGUCUGAGAGGAUGAUCAGUCACACUGGAACUGAGACACGGUCCAGACUCCUACGGGAGGCAGCAGUGGGGAAUAUUGGACAAUGGGCGAAAGCCUGAUCCAGCCAUGCCGCGUGUAUGAAGAAGGUCUUCGGAUUGUAAAGCACUUUAAGUUGGGAGGAAGGGCAGUAAGUUAAUACCUUGCUGUUUUGACGUUACCAACAGAAUAAGCACCGGCUAACUUCGUG
rnacentral:rRNA from 1 species